rnacentral:lncRNA from 1 species
UACAGCUGAGGGAGGCCGUGGGAGCCUCCCUGGACUCAUCUCUGCCUCUGUUUCUUUAUUGAUUGUUGCCCAGCAACUCUGAUCUUGUUGCUGUUCUGUUUGGGACCCAGACAAUGCAAGUGGUGGAGGGAUUUUCCUUGUCAGGUCUUUCAGGCUGAAGUGUGGGCACAUUUGAUUGUGGUGAGGGGAACGCACAGAUGUAUUACAAAAUCUUAGUUGAUAAAGCAGUGGAAGGGUUUGAGAGGAUUGACUCCAAUUUUGAAAGAAGUUCUACUGUGGGUAAAAUGCUAUCAGACAGCAUCAUGUGUUGCAGAGAAAUCUUUCAUGGAAGGAAGAGUCCACUGAUGUGGCAAACAUCAUUGUCUUAUUUUAAGAAAUUGCCACAGGCACCCCAACGAUGCUGACUUCUGUCCCAGAUGCAGUCACCUUCAUGGGGGCGGACUCCCUGCUUGUCUAGGCAAUCUCAAAUGGCAAUUUUUGAGUGAAUGGCCCCAGCCCACAGCUAACGGCAGCAGCUUGGGCCUCUGGCCAGGCUGGCUGUGUGACCCCGCCAGGCCCCGGCCCAGCUUUCUCACUGACGUGUCAAGAAGGGAGAGGGUGAGGGUGUGGGGACUUGGGGAGGGUUGGUGGCUGGGCCUAAUCCCACUCCUGUCCCCGGAUGACAGUGCCCUAGCAGCUCACGGCAGAGUUUCUGGGAGCCCUGGAAGAUGUCAGCGCUUGACCUUUGCUGGCUGCGGGGGCUCCUACUGCUGUUUGCGGAAGUCCCUAAGUCAGUGGCAGGAGGGUGAGUAAAAUGUCACCCCUGUGCAAUGCCACAGUGCUGAGGAUAGUGCUGAGGGCAGUGCUGAGGACAGUGUUGAGGCUGGUGCAAUGCCACAGUGCUGAAGCUGGUAGAAUGUCACAAGGUUGGGGAGAAUGUGGCAGAUUCCCCAAACACACGGACCAGAAGCAUGGUGGCCGCAGACCAUAGCACAGGUCCCUCCGAGGGACAGUGGGACUGCACCGGGUGAUAACAAGGGCUCCAUUCCCCUACAAAGAAGUAAUCAAAUGCUCUGCCUCCAUGUCGGCAAAGCAAGCACUUCCCACCCAUGUCCUCCGUGACCACCAGGAAGGUGAUGGCUCCGAACAGGGCCUCCACUCACGGGUUACCGAGGUACCUCCACCUGUGUCGUCAGUGACCACAAGGAGGGUGAUGGCUCCGAACAGGGCCUCCACUCACGGGUUACCGAGGUACCUCCACCUGUGUCGUCAGUGACCACAAGGAGGGUGAUGGCUCCGAACAGGGCCUCCACUCACGGGUUACCGAGGUACCUCCACCUGUGUCGUCAGUGACCACAAGGAGGGUGAUGGCUCCGAACAGGGCCUCCACUCAUGGGUUACCGAGGCACCUGCUGUCCUUUCCAGGGUUCUGGGACAAAACAGCACAUGGACACUUGGAUUUAAAUUCCAGCAACACCAUGAUUUCAGGGGCUGUUAUUUCAGCUCCUGAGCCUGUGUUUCCUUGUCUGCAGAGUGGGGUGCACAUGGCCAACCUCACAGAGCUGUGGGCUCCAUCAAGGUGGCUGUCGCUGUUUCCCUCUCAGUGCUCAGCGGCCCCCAGGCCACCCCUGCAAAAUUGCUGCUUCCUCCCAAGAGGUUUGAGCUUGGAUCAAAUUCAGAACUCCCUGGAAAGGGUGGCAUCAAGAGGCCCCCUUUCCAGGCAUUUGCAUUGAUUAAACUCUCGUGUGACCUGUCCAUGACUCUAGGGAGAGGAGCAACGGGGGUGAUGACCGUGACAAGCUAGAGACCCUCUUGGACAGAUGGUCGUUAUUCCACUUGCUCCAGGCACCACCCUGUGAGUCACGGCAGGUGUUGGCAUCCCAUUU